rnacentral:lncRNA from 1 species
GCCGACAUCAGUGCAAUCAUUCGCCUGACCAAGCGCCGACCUGAACGACAUGCCGAGCCGUACUACGGCUUCGCCCCGUUACAUCGCAGGUAAACCGACCCCCGGUCUAUAAAAGGGGGUUGGAAAAUCGAUACUGGGGGGGACGCACCGUUUACCUCUACUCUACACGAUUUGCCCCCUCCCUGACUUGAGCGUCGGAGGGCCGGCGCCGGGAGACCCGGCCACCGGCUCGUGUGCAGGCACCCAGACGGAGGACGCCGCCCACUGUCGGAUCGUCGCCCAGCCGCGGGAAUCAGCCGCUCCUUCUCGCCGAUCGCCCCAGACGGAGGACGCCGCCCGUCGACGAACCACCG